rnacentral:sRNA from 1 species
GCUGGGCUCGGUGGUGCAUGUCUGUAAUCCCAGCGGCUUGGGAGGCUGAGACAGGAGGAUCACAAUUUCAAAACCAGCCUCAGCAAUGGCAAGGCACUAAGCAACUCAGUGAAACCCUGUCUCUA